rnacentral:rRNA from 1 species
AGAACGAACGCUGGCGGCAGGCUUAACACAUGCAAGUCGAACGCGUGUAGCAAUACACGAGUGGCGCACGGGUGAGUAACGCGUGGAUAUCUGCCUUUUGGUUCGGAAUAACCCCGGGAAACUGGGGCUAAUACCGGAUGGUUCCUACGGGAUAAAGAUUUAUCGCCAAAAGAUGAGUCCGCGUCCGAUUAGCUAGUUGGUGGGGUAAUGGCCUACCAAGGCGACGAUCGGUAGCUGGUCUGAGAGGACGAUCAGCCACACUGGGACUGAGACACGGCCCAGACUCCUACGGGAGGCAGCAGUGGGGAAUAUUGGACAAUGGGGGCAACCCUGAUCCAGCCAUGCCGCGUGAGUGAUGAAGGCCUUCGGGUUGUAAAGCUCUUUUGGCGGGGCGAUGAUGACGGUACCGCAGAAUAACGCCCGGCUAACUUCGUGCCAGCAGCCGAC